GAUAUGAUGUAUUUGACAAAAGGUACUUUUUAUUCCUUUCUUUUAAAACUUAAACUCUGUUAUGAAAAUAAAAAAUACAGACCUGUAAACAGCGUUGUCUGCAUCACAGGUAUCCCCAAACAAUAACGUCAGAUAUGUUAUAGUAACGUUAUAUCAUAUGUAACUACAGUAUUUGUAUUAGGGAUUCUGUUUGGGGGUAUUUGGAUUUCAAGUGAAAUUACGGUGAGAUAUGUUAUAUUGUGUACGAAACGUGACUGUCAUCGACCUUAGAUACAAAACUGGCUUUAUUUUGUAACACACUGGCAAAUGUACACUGUUGGUAAUGGGUGAAGCAUCUCCUCUCUUUGGGUGUUUGUUUUAAUCUCUGGAGUCCUCCAUAAAGUACAAUGUAGUACACAUGUAAUAAGAAACUAGCUUUUUGUCUUGCUUUUUUCAAAAGUACACAAUAUAAAAUGAGUUGGACCCCAAAACUGUAAGCUACAUGCAUUUGUUUUAAAAUUGAAAUAACAAUAUAUUAUUUCAAAAUAAUACCUAUUAAUACAAUAUUAUGUGGAAACAUCAAAUGGUUUCACACCCCAAGUAAUUAUUUAUAUAAAGAGAAUGGACAGACUUUCAUGAAUCACUGGAAGCCGUUUAUACUUUCCUAGAAUUACUUCAUUCUACCAUAAUUUAGAAAUGUACUUUGUUACUUGUACAUAUAUAAAUAUUAUUGUAAUCUACAGUAAAGUACUCUUACUGCAGUGGGUCAAUUUCAUUUCGAAUGUAGGCAAUGUUUGAGAUAAUUUAUUACCAAUAAUAAACACAAAGGUAUAAAUCCAGAUCAAAAGAGUGUUCAUUUAAUUACUAUAUGUGUAUUUUGGGGGUAGGGUUUUUUGAUGAACUGGUUGGUGGACAAAUAACUUGCUCAAAGACUAUAAAAUCUAUUUUAAUAGCGAUUUCAAAAUUCUUGUUACAAUACAAAAUUAUCUGCAACAACAUGGAAAUUAUUACCUGCCAAUUCUGCUUCACUCGAGGAGGAAAAACUAAUUUUAAGGAGAGGCCACAUUAUCUCUGGUUCAAAGCCGAUAUCAUAACAGUAGUAUCACCAAAGAUGGAGAGAAAUAGGAAGGCACAAAGUUGUAGAUAGUGUAAAUGUAAUAUAGUAUCAUAACAAGAAUUGAAAUAGUUAUUAAAAUAGACUUCAUAGGCUUUGAACAAGUUAUUUGUACACUGACUGGUUCAUCAAAAUAUAAACUUUUGGCUGCGACUUGAUAUUUCAAAUGGUACACGAGCAUGUUAGUUAUGGGUCAUGAAAACGGUAUUCAUCACAAUCAAGAGACAGUAUUAUAACUGAGUGUAAAAAAAAAAACCCCGGCUUAUAAAUAACUUGAUUGAGCAAAUUAAUUUUAAUUAAAAACAGUAUACUAGUAUACAAUAAAAACAAUAGUUAAUAUAAGUUUCAACAGUUAGCAGCACAUUUACAUUUAGUGUCGACACGGGUGCGGUCUGGACUAGACAAACAUCCGUGACACUGUAAAAUGCAAGUGGUCACUGUUUUAACAAGGCGACACCACUAUAGCCUUAACGUUAAUGAAAGGGCCAAGUCAAAUUUAUCAAGGUGAAGUUUUGUGUCGGUUCACCCGCUGGCAUGAGGAAUGCUUUAACUUUUUCAACUUAAGUUGGCAAAAUGGUUUUAUUUGUAUCACUUGACUGGAGCUCAUUUUAGGGUUUGAUUGACUUUGCUAUUUUUAUAGUUGUUAGAUGGUUCAGCUGUAUUGGUUAUUGAAUAGCAAUGAUUUUCUCUAAAUUUAACUAACCAUUUCUGUAAUUCUACAUGUUUAGUUAGUGUUUAAGAAUAGAAAAUAUUUAUUGCUACUAUUUAAUAGGGAAGCUAUAUGAUGACAUAUACAUCGGAUUCAGUAGUUGGUUAUAUUUAAUGAAUGCAGUGAAAUUUGCACACGGUUCCAUUAUAACACAGUAUCCAGGUUUUUUUUAAACUGCCAUAAUCAGCAUGAUAAUCAGUAACUUCAGACCUGAUUUCUCAUUAAUGGUUCAACCACACUUCCAAAUCAGUUUGAGAGAGAUCAACAGAAACUUUGCAUGUCAUGUUAAUGAUUCAAUCUUAAUCUCUAAAUCUAUUUCUAUUUGAAUUUUGUACAUAAACUUGUUAACAACGUGAUGAAUGGUUAAAUAUGAUCUUCAUGUACCGGUAUUUUAGCAUAGUUUAGGGUUUAAGCCACUUGUAUCGGAACUGCUAAUGAAAAAUCAUGCCAUAUAAUCAAUAUUAUAUAGACUUCAAAGUGCUGUUUGUUAAGCAUAAUAAAUAGUUUUGUUUUUGUUGAAAAAUAAAUAUAAACAUUUCUAA